GGGCUUGUGGCGCAGCGGUAGCGCAGGGGACUCAUAAUCCCUUGGUCGUAGGUUCGAAUCCUACCGGGCCCACCA
rnacentral:tRNA from 1 species